UCAGCUUUAACAAAUUUCUUCCUGAUGAAUCACAAUACAAAUGCCACAGGAGCCCUGCCGUUGGUUAUCCCACAUUUUACCCAUUUUGGAAUGUAGAAAGAUGUUUCAGGUACAGGUUCGAUUAAGGAGUCCAUUAGCCAGAAACUCCUACUACAAUUCAUGCUGAUGAAUAUAGUUUUAAUAGGCUUACAAGAGACCUAUAGCCUGAGUUACCAUUAGUCUAUGGCAACCACAGUAACAUCACAAACAACAGCAGAGAAAGUUGACUUUGGAGUGUGAACUAUGCAGGCAAGGACCAAGAUGAGGAGCAAACUAUCUGUAAUUGCAGAGUCAAAAAAAGGACCACAGCAGGAGCUAACUUGAAGAUGCCAAGUUUUUGAAAUCGGAGUGAUAAAAAUAACAGCCAGAUUUUGGCAAUUAAAACUUUUGUAGGUUUUGAAGACAACAUCUGAAAUUAUUAUUGAAGGGCUAUGAGCUGUAAUAAUACCCUGCAGAGGCAAUGCAGAGGUAAAGAGAAUGUUACAUUGUAAUACAACAAUUUUUACAGCUAUGUGAAACAAAUCUGAAUAAUUAAACUUGAACAGUUUUAUCUUGUA